UUUGGUUGCCUGAAAAAGGAAAAAUACGUCUCUUUGUGUAAUUGUGGUAAUCAAUUUUAAUCUUUCUUGCUUUUACCUUAGUCUUGCUCAAUAUGGUCUUAUACUUUGAAAGUUCUAAUCUGGUUAACAUUAAGCUUUUGAAGUUUUAGUUAUACCUGUGUUGAUAGUCAUUAGAAGACAACUAAACAACAAAAGGUUAGAGUUCAACUUCAGUUAUGUAUCAAAUUAUUUAUUUCAUUGAGAUGUCUGAGAUUUAAAUUAGAAGAAAUUUUAUUAGCUUUGCCAUGUGGCUACAAAAUCCCCUCGCUAUUGUUUGAUCUUGACAAUCUCUGAACCUGUUAUAUUCUGUAACUUUGGAGAACAUGCUGGACAUUCACUGUUGCUUGAGAUAUAUUAAUCUGUUCUAUUUGAGAUAUAUGGGUCAUUGGAUAAGUAGGAUCCUCUAUACCGAAGUGAACAUGUUAGAAGUAUUUACUAGCUCUCCUCUGCUUUUUUCUGCAGGUGGCACUUUUGCUUGUGUCUUGUUAUCUUUUCGAAAUGGUGAAGCUGACAAUGAUAGCCUGUAUCACUGAUGGCCUUUCAUUAGCGGAGUGCUUAGAUGGUGGUUAUGUUAAGGAUGUUGUCUUCUACAAGCAGCAAGCAAAAUUGUUGUUCAAAAACAUAUAUAAAGGCCAACAUGAAUCAUCAAGACUGUCAACUGAGACUGGACCACACCAUUCCAGGUUAAGGGGCGUAUGGCGGUGAGGAAGCGGCGGCGCGCGCCUACAACCUGGCGGCAUUGAAGUACUGGGGCCAUGACACCAUCCUCGACUUCCUGCUGUCUAGCUACGACCAAGAGUUGAAGGAAAUGGAGGAGCAAUCCAGGGAAGAGUACAUUGGUUCGCUCCGGAGGUAAGCGCCGCCAUAAACGCCAACGUGCCAAAAAGACAAGGGGCCGAGCUCCAUGUAGCGAACCAUGUCUUUGUGAGAGGACCGUAAUAAGAGGUAGCAUGCUGGCCUUAUGCCAUUGUUCAAUACUUUGCAUAUUAAAUGAACUCUUACACCAUUUUUUAAUAGAUUGUUCUUCGCAUGUUAAACUCCACUCUUACGCAUAGGACCAAUAUGCUGCAAACUAUGGGGCAAACCAUCGCUCACUAUCAACAAGCGGUCAAUUAAAAGAACAUAAUCGUAUUAUCCAUGAUUUUUUUCUAUGGCUUGAUUGGUUAAACUAAAAACUCACAGCAGGUUCAUGUGACGUGCCAUGUGAGAAGUUGAACGACAAGACAGUCAAGUGAAGUUAUCAAAUAGUAUGCUUUAGUUGAACUGUAUAGGUUCCUUAUCUCUCACUGGCGCUCUGGCUUGAUUUUGUUGUCUAACUCUACUCUCUGUAUCUAACUUAAUUUGAAUUGAUCGUCCUGCCUUAGCUUUGGAACAAAGAAAUGUUUCCCUUUUAUUAUGAGCCUCCAGGUCAUUUGUUCUACUGAUUAAAUAUUUCCUACUCACCUUGCUUUUGGUAUACCCAACAUUGUUCUUGAUUUACUUUUGGAACAAAAUAUAUAUUCAUGAGCUUCCAUA